rnacentral:lncRNA from 1 species
CCCACUCUAUUUCAUCCUUAGUCUCCCUUUCCAAACACUUAAGCAGCCUUUUCCUCCACUCCCAAACUGUGAUUUCAAGAAACUCUAUGUGUUGCAGUUUGUAAGCAUGUUCUCUAUUUUUACUCUUGGUGACCCAAGAGAUACUAGUUUUCUUCUUACUUUCAAAUGGUAACAUCACCAUCUGCAACAGUGUUCUACCUGAAAUCGCUUUUGGCUGCAACCCAGGGCCAUUAAUCUCAGUGAUAUAUUCUUCAUCCGGAUGCAUCAUCUUUGUGUCUUCUGGUAGGACUAUUUGAGGAAUGUUACUAGACAUUCAUUUUCCUAGACUCUGAGUUUCUCUGCAAUCUGGCCUUGCUGACUGGGUAGAUCAGCCCAUGCCAUAACUACCAUCAACUUAUUUCGGGGCGGGAAACAAGAUUCCAGAACACUUCUGAGCAGUGACAAUGGGCAUAGUCACUAGUGUUCUUUUCUGGACCAGUACCUCAUGAGUUCACCUUGCUACCAUCGAGGAAAUCCAGAACAACUGCUCAAGGACAUGUCUGAAUGAGUCACUGAACCAUGGCUCUGUGAGGUCAGCUGCUCUCUGAUCCACUUGUUCCUCAGCUUAAAGACAUGUCAAAGAUAGUGAGACAAAAAGGAAUUGCUCAAAUACUGAGAUGCAUGUCAACUCUUCCAACAACCUCCAGAAUUUACUGAGCCUGUAACACAGAUUUUGUAAUCCUUUUCUGUGAAAUCCAGUACUGUGUCAGCUUCGUUAGGGUCUAAAGUGUACCUUUCAUAAAGGACCUCAAGAUUUAUUUUUCUGAGCUUUAAAUGAGUGAAAAUGUGUUUUGUUGAAACUUCCCAAGAAGUAACUGCAUUUUCUAUGGAAUCUUCCAUUGUUUAUGGGCCUGAUGAAAGCAUUUGGCACUUAAUGAUUCCCAGACUAUUUCAACUUUAUAAAAAAUCAAGAAAAAGAAAAAAAAGGUGAAAAGUAAAUGUUUUGAAUGCUAACAAUAAAAUAUGUGGA